rnacentral:lncRNA from 1 species
CCAACUAAAACUAUUAUCUAACCCCCUAUAGGUCCGACUCACCAACUAAAACUAUGAUCUAACCCCCUAUAGGUCCGACUCACCAACUAAAACUAUUAUCUAACCCCUAUAGGUCCGACUCACCAACUAAAACUAUUAUCUAACCCCCUAUAGAUCUGACUCACCAACUAAAACUAUUAUCUAACCCCCUAUAGGUCCGACUCACCAACUAAAACUAUUAUCUAACCCCCUAUAGGUCCGACUCACCAACUAAAACUAUUAUCUAACCCCUAUAGGUCCGACUCACCAACUAAAACUAUUAUCUAACCCCUAUAGGUCCGACUCACCAACUAAAACUAUUAUCUAACCCCUAUAGGUCCGACUCACCAACUAAAACUAUUAUCUAACCCCCUAUAGGUCCGACUCACCAACUAAAACUAUUAUCUAACCCCCUAUAGGUCCGACUCACCAACUAAAACUAUUAUCUAACCCCCUAUAGGUCCGACUCACCAACUAAACAAAAUACGGGGGGGGGUUUUCUUCAAAACAUCACAUAACGUCUUCCAGAUAUCUGAGGACACCCUUCCCUCUGAAGGUCGGACCAGUCUGUCACAAGGGUGGAAAAGAUGACGGAUUACCCACACUGAUUGACAAAGUCUAAAACUUCAAGGGUGACCUCCUCCUCCUCCUCUUUAUAUUAUUGAUAUGGGGCCGCUGUAAUAGUCCAGAAAAGGCUACAUAUACCAAGGGGAUAACUGGACUCUCAUCCAUAAAGCCACGGAGCCAGUCACACUCGCAGAGGACACGAUUUGGAUAACUCCCCCCCCCCAGUGAAUUGAUGUCAUGAUCCUGGUGCAGAA